UACGAAGGGGGCUAGCGUUGCUCGGAAUCACUGGGCGUAAAGGGCGCGUAGGCGGAUCUUUAAGUCGGGGGUGAAAGCCCAGGGCUCAACCCUGGAAUUGCCUUCGAUACUGAAGAUCUCGAGACCGGAAGAGGUAAGUGGAACUGCGAGUGUAGAGGUGAAAUUCGUAGAUAUUCGCAAGAACACCAGUGGCGAAGGCGGCUACUGGUCCGGUUCUGACGCUGAGGCGCGAAAGCGUGGGGAGCAAACAGGG
rnacentral:rRNA from 1 species